GGCGUCACGUGACUAGCUGCGCUGGUGCACGCAGCCGGGAGGGGCGGGCUCCUUCCCCUGGCAAGCCGGAAGCUCCGCACCUCCCCAGCCCGGCCCUUGCAGCUGCAGAGAUGUUGAUGCCUAAGAAGAACCGGAUUGCCAUUUAUGAACUCCUUUUUAAGGAGGGAGUCAUGGUGGCCAAGAAGGAUGUCCACAUGCCUAAGCACCCGGAGCUGGCAGACAAGAAUGUGCCCAACCUUCAUGUCAUGAAGGCCAUGCAG
rnacentral:lncRNA from 1 species